UCCCCAGGUUACGCCUGAGGGUCCGACUAAUACCCAGAACCACCAUUACACGCCCAUUGGGUUCUCAUGCAACGGAAACGUUGUUCACUCCUCCAGUAAUUAGGACGGACCAUAGCUACGACUUUAGAACGGGAGGUAUUAUAGUCCGCUGAGCUUUGUUUUGUUUCCCGUUGCUAUGGUUACUAAUAUUUUAGAGACGAUACGCCAGCUAGCGCAUUAAUUGAGAACGGUAAACAGACAAUUUGACGGAACUACUUGUCCAGGUGUCCGUAUAUCAGGAGUUAAUGCACACCCUGCAUCCAAUCAGAAUCGAGUAUUCCCGCAGACCGUGGUAUAAAACAAGAUA